ACCGCCACAUCGUUGCUCGCGUCGCUUCGUCUCGUCCCGAAAUGGCGGUGGGUUCCUUGCCGCGCGCGCACUGAAUCGAUCGGCCACGUCUCCUCCUCUCCGUUCCGUUGCUCGUACGGCGGCGGAGCUCCGCGCGGCGCUCCUGUUUAGUGCGAAUCUGGUCGUUGCAACCAAAGCCCUAGCUUUGGAACUGGAAGCCUGGAGCGAAGGAUGGAGAGCCCGAAGCGGAAGCUUGACGACGAGUCCGGCGGCGAGGCGGCGGCGGCGGGGCUGCACCUGCUGCUGCACGAGAUGCUGCUCCGGGCUCGCCGGGAGGGGGAGGAGCCCGACCUGCUGCCGGACGAGCAGCUGCGCUCCAACGACCAGCUCCAGCAAGACGAGAUGCUGGCACUGGAGGCAAUUUAUGGAGACAAUAUAGGCAUUUUCAGUGCAAAGGCUGGUCUAUGGUGUUUCCAGGUCCAUGUGCACUGGGAAAUUCCUGAUGGUACCAGCAUAUCCACAGAGCUAUCCCAGGGUGAUAACCAUGACCAAAAUAGUUGAUUCUUUGACACAUUCAGUGUCCAGCACUUGGCUCCAAUUUCAUUGACAUGCCUUAUGCCUCCAUCAUACCCAAGCCAUCGCGCUCCAUACUUUACUCUCAGUUCACAGUGGUUGGAUGCCGUGAAAGUUUCCUCCCUUUGUCUCAUGCUGGACACAAUCUGGACACAGCAACUUGGACAGGAAGUUGUUUAUGCGUGGGUGCAAUGGCUGCAGAGCUCUGCGCUUUCUCAUCUUGGUUUUGAUGAUGGGAUACUCAUACAACAGCCUGGUAGUAUGAUGGGUCCUGUGGAUGUUCGUGCUGUUGCAGAGAUUGCGUCUGUAGAGUCUGUUGCACAAUGGUUAAUCAGCUACAAUGAGGAGCAAUGCCAUGAAUCUUUUCUAAGUGGCCUUCAUGACUGCAUGAUUUGUUUCACCGAGUACGGGGGUAUUGAUUUUAUUACACUUCCAUGCCAGCAUUACUUUUGUCGGAGGUGUAUGGAAACGUACUCAAGGAUGCAUGUCACAGAAGGAACAGUGCUGAAAUUGUUGUGUCCUAACGACAAGUGCGGGGGCAUCAUUCCUCCAAGUCUAUUAAAAAGGUUGCUAGGAGAUACAGAUUUUGAACGCUGGGAAAGAUUGAUACUUCAGAAGACUCUAGACUCAAUGUCAGACUUGGCUUACUGUCCAAGAUGUGGAGCAGCUUGCCUGGAAGACGAGGAGAACAAUGCCCAGUGCCCCAAGUGCUUCUUCAGCUUCUGCGCCCGCUGCAGAGAUCGCCGUCACAUAGGGGAGAAGUGCAUGACUAUAGAAGAAAAGCUAAAUUCCUUACAGGAUCGCACCGUGGUGCCUUUUUUAAGCAAAGACAGCUUUGCCAGUAAAAUGAACUUGUCAAAUGAAAUAUCCAGCAUCAAGGAAGUGCUCCGUUCUUCUGUUCGAUGUCCACAUUGUGGUACUGCCAUCUCCCGAGUAUCAGGCUGCAACCAUAUGUUAUGCAGUAACUGUAGGCAAUCGUUCUGCUAUGGCUGUGGCAAGGCAGAGAAUCAUGGCCAUUCAAGUGAGCCCUGCAGAUACCAGGAGAAUCUGGCAACGAAGAAGAAUCCAACCGUCCUCAUUGAGGAGGUGAAGAAAGAACUGGAGGGGGAACUGUCAAGACAGCAUCCGUGCCCAAAUUGUCGCCAACCAAAUCCUAAGAUGGGAAACAACAGCCAUAUGUUCUGCUGGGCAUGCCAGGUUCAUUACUGUGCGCAGUGCCACAGGAUGGUUCGGAAGAGCUCCGAGCAUUAUGGUCCCCGUGGAUGCAAGCAGCACAGUGUCGACCCUGAGAUCCCCCUCAGAUUCAAGGCAAACAAAAACGAUGACUCUGGUUCGUAACACUUCUGUGAUGAUCUGUUGGCAGAGAGCAUCGGUUUCGACUGUGGCGUAUUUCCUUCUAGAGCCGUUGCAUCAUUACGGUACAUGUUAUUACAUGCGGUUAAUAUUAUCCUAUGCAGUUUCAAGGAGCAACUUUGCACACAUAUUUUUGUUGUGGAAGAUUAGUAAACUGACGUAGAGGAUAAUCAGUUCGUGCAAAGCUUGCUGAAUUUUAAUCAAUCUUAUAA